rnacentral:tRNA from 3 species
UGGGGAUUAGCCAAGCGGUAAGGCAACGGACUUUGACUCCGUCAUUCCCUAGGUUCGAAUCCUAGAUCCCCAG